rnacentral:lncRNA from 1 species
GAUUGGGCAUGGACAGAGAAUUUAGUGCUUACCACUUUUACUUACCAAGAAGCAAAGAGAAUAUUCAGCAUUCCAUUAGUAUAGCACGGGCUCUAGGACAAAUUGUGAUGGUGCCCUAAGAAUUCUGGAGAGUAUACAAUGCGUAGAAGGUAUUGACUUUUGCUGAGAGGCUUCCGCGAAGCUGAGGAUGACUUGUAUAGAGA